GAUUUUGUUCUCGGUGAUUGGGCAUAUUGAUUUUGAUGCAUCGCCUGAUCUCAUUCUCAUAGAGGAUAUCAAUGGGGUGAAUGCCGGUACUCAACCUAUUGAUGCACAUGGACAUGAUGACUUUCUAGCGUUUAUGGACUAACCAACCUGUAAUCAUGGACCUUAUUGUCUUGUAGACCAUUUGGUGUUUCGAGUGUUUUGGAGCUUACACUUUGUGCAUGUAGAUACAAACUUGUGUGUUCUGGACCAUCUGAAGUAUCUCAUAGUCCUUAUCUUUUUGUGACUUGUGUGUUCUAGAUGAUUGUUAAGAUGGUCAAAACUAUGCUUCCUCUAGGUUAAUUUGUUUGUCAGCUUGCGUUCAAUGUACGUGCAUGUUUAUAAACAUAUUUUCAUUGUGGUGUAA